rnacentral:rRNA from 1 species
GACGAACGCUGGCGGCGUGCCUAAUACAUGCAAGUAGGACGCAGUUGCGAACGGGUGAGUAACGCGUAGGUAACUACCUAUUAGAGGGGGAUAGCUAUUGGAAACGAUAGCUAAUACCGCAUACUAGUAGAUGGACCUGCGUUGUAUUAGCUAGUAGGUAGGGUAAUGGCCUACCUAGUCAACGAUACAUAACCGACCUGAGAAGGUGAUCGGUCAAGAUGGGAAUGAGAUACGGCCCAGAGUACUACGGGAGGGAGUAGUAGGGAAUCUUCGGCAAAGGGGGGAACCCUUACAGAGGAACGCCGCGGGAGUGAAGAAGGUUUUCGGUGCGUAAAGCCCUGUUGUUAAGGAAGCGGUACUUAACCAGAAAGGGACGGCUAACUACGUGCCAGCAGCCGCGGUAAUUC